rnacentral:rRNA from 1 species
GAUGAACGCUGGCGGCGUGCCUAAUACAUGCAAGUCGAGCGAACAGAUGAGGAGCUUGCUCCUCUGACGUUAGCGGCGGACGGGUGAGUAACACGUGGAUAACCUACCUAUAAGACUGGGAUAACUUCGGGAAACCGGAGCUAAUACCGGAUAAUAUAUUGAACCGCAUGGUUCAAUAGUGAAAGACGGUUUUGCUGUUACUUAUAGAUGGAUCCGCGCCGCAUUAGCUAGUUGGUAAGGUAACGGCUUACCAAGGCAACGAUGCGUAGCCGACCUGAGAGGGUGAUCGGCCACACUGGAACUGAGACACGGUCCAGACUCCUACGGGAGGCAGCAGUAGGGAAUCUUCCGCAAUGGGCGAAAGCCUGACAGAGCAACGCCGCGUGAGUGAUGAAGGUCUUCGGAUCGUAAAACUCUGUUAUUAGGGAAGAACAAAUGUGUAAGUAACUAUGCACGUCUUGACGGUACCUAAUCAGAAAGCCACGGCUAACUACGUG